AGUAGUGAUUUCCACAAACGAACCUAGGACCGUGAACGUUUAACUAGGGCCAUAAGACCAAGGAAAUGGAAAAUGCAAUAGAUAAAAAGCAUGCUGCAAGGGAAAUUGAAGUUCUCACAGCGAAUGGAUGUAACAUUUUGCCAUUGUACAGCAGAUAGAGCUUCAUUUGUGUACAGAAACCACGAAAGAUAUUUGGUCCACGACACGUAAUCUGGCAACGAGCUGUCAAAAUAGUAAUCGGUUUAAUAGUAUUUAACUUUGUGGUUAAGCUAGAUACUAAUGUAAUACCUGAGACUGAUGAGCACACCUCCAGUGAUGAAAAGAAUGUAAUCGAAAGGAAUGAGGAAGCUUAUAGCCACUGCAAUGGAUUCGCAAGCAGCUGAAAAGAACGUUCCUAAAUGAUUCAAGAAUCGUAAAUACUCGAUAGAGAGCAGAAGUAGACAUAAAUGAAAAAUAUGAACUCCCAACACUAACCACAUGCAGCAGCAGUAUUGCAAGUAACCAUCAGAAUCCAGCAAGAAUAUAGAAAAGCACCAGCUUCUGGUUUCAGCCCCAUUAGCCAGUAGGCAAUAGAAACGAAAACGAAAGUUUCAACAACAUAUCCUGGCAUCUGCAUCAAUUAGAGAUAAUUGGACACUAUACUUGCCAUUUCGUUUUUACGCAAAACAAAGAAGAAAGUCAGGUAAACAUACCAAGGCUACUACUUUAGAAAGGUAGUAAGCAGAAGGUGAAUAGAGUCCACUGCGUGCAUCUCUCAAGAAUAAUGGCCACUCCAUGGGAAAAAUUCCUAAGGCACCGUAAAGGGCAGGAAAAGUGUUUUCGGUGGUUAGGAUGAAUAAAGCACCCUGGAUAUUUUGAAUAGUCUUUUGAUCUCUUGUGCCCAGCACGCCAUGGAAGCAAAGUCCCGCGAGAAGAGCGAUUGCCUACAAAUUCAAACGAUUUCCACUUGGAUCUUUCAGAGAUAAGUUAUAUUGAAAUUAUCGUACGAUUUUCUGGAUGAUACGUAGGGUGUGCACAGCUGGAUUGCGAUAUGAAUCAACAAAAGCUCGCCAUAGCAGCCAAAUGAACUGUAUCAUCCAUCGUGCUUGGUGACUAUGUUCAACAGGUUGAUAGCCUUUCUUUGUAGACAGAUCCAACAUUUCCUGGCCGAGGCUCGUCUCGAACUGAAUGAGAAGAUCUAUUUGUUUUGCUGUGGACGUUACGAUGAACCGAUCGCAAAUAGCUCGGACUGUUGCACGACUAGUAUCUUCCAAUCCAGGGAUAACAGCUAGCGUUUGUACGUAGAAAUCUGCAGGAUUAUAAUUUACAUUUUGUGGCAAAUUGUAUCAACCUUUGGAAGAAACCAAGAGCACCAGCUGAAGAACCUUGAUAAGCAAUACGACCCUCAGCCAACAGAACAAGACGAUCAAACAUGGCAAAUGUUUCCGACGAAGGCUGAUGGAUGGUACAAACCACCGUUUUCCCCCAGAUGGAAACCUUUCAACAUCAAAACAAGUCUCUCGGCAGAGAAAGUGUCAAGACCGGUAGUUGGUUCAUCACAGAAGAGGACAGGGGGAUCAGUCAACACCUGUGUUAGAGACGUCUAAGAAAGUAAAAUGUAAAAAACCGUGAAAACAAAAUUUACUUGA